rnacentral:snRNA from 1 species
GAAUGUGAGGAUGAUCUGGCUGUGACAUCUGUCACCCCCUUGAUUGCCACGGUUGAUUUGGCUGAUCUGGCUGGCUAGGUGGGUGUCCCCUUUCUCCUUCACUGCUCUCUGUACAUACCUCCCAAAGCUGCACACUCAGUUGAAGAGGAGAACCUUCCUCAAUAAAGAGGACCAUUCUUCGAUCAAAGGUAUACCAGUAGCUGUGCGCUCAUUAGACCCUUCAGACAUGCUCUUAAGGUCCAUUUGUAGGAGAACGUAGGGUAGUCAAGCUUCCAACCCCAGACACAUCCAAAUGAGGCACUGCAUGUGGCAGAUUGCCUUAA